UGCCAGCCGCCGCGGUAAUACGGAGGGUCCGAGCGUUAUCCGGAAUCAUUGGGUUUAAAGGGUCCGCAGGCGGUCAAUUAAGUCAGAGGUGGAAGCCCAUCGCUCAACGAUGGAACUGCCUUUGAUACUGGUUGACUUGAGUUAUACGGAAGUAGAUAGAAUAAGUAGUGUAGCGGUGAAAUGCAUAGAUAUUACUUAGAAUACCGAUUGCGAAGGCAGUCUACUACGUAUAUACUGACGCUGAGGGACGAAAGCUAGGGUAGCAAAUGGGAUUAGAUA
rnacentral:rRNA from 1 species